UUCUAGACAUUUCCGCCGAGUUGCAUUUUCUCUCUUUCUUCUGUAUUUUUUUUCUAAAAUUCUUACACAGGGAUGAGUUUGAUUUUUCAAAUUCCAAUCAUUUUCUUCCAAAAAAUUUCAUCUCAAACCAUAUCACAUUCUUUGCAAAAAAGAAAUCCUAAUUUGUCUUCUUAAUUUCAUCUUUUAUAGCUUCUGGAAUUUUGUUACUACUCAAUUUGUUAGGGAAACAGAAAUGGGGCUUUGUAAGAUAUAUUGGAUGAUCUACAGGUUUUUAAUUCUCAUAUCUUAUAAUCGAAUUCAAUUUUUAUUUAUUACUCUUUUUAUUUUACAAAUUCAAAAAUCAUGUUCUUCUUAAAUUCGUCAUAAAAAUCAAUCUCUCAUCUCGUUGCAUCAUCUAGGAAUUAAGCUUUACCCUAUUUAAUAAAGGAAUUCUAUAAACUACUUGUCUUUCAGGCAAAUGACCAACGAUUGGGUGUAUUAUUACCCCUCGAAUUGCUCUCAACACAGCUGAAUACUUGGCUUAUGAGUGCAGGAAGCAUGUUCUGGUUAUCCCAACAGAUAUGAGUUCUCACGCAGAUUCUCUUCAUGAGGAGUUCUCAACCAAAGAAGCCAAGAAGUGGGAAUUGCGCUCCAUAACACAUCAUGUAAACAAACUGAGCAGCGCGGACCCUCUUCUAUUCUUGGACUUGUUUGGCUUGUUUUCGUAGAUGACCUCCAAGGUGAUACUUGAUUAGAUGUCCCUAAAGAGGAGUACAGUUUCGGUAUCAACUCUUUCACGUCCUUGCAUCUAUGUACUAAUGAAGGGAGUUUGACUUUUUCUUCUGGUUUUGAUCCAACCUAUAAUAGAUUGAUAUAACAUAUAAGUAAAAUAUAUUUUUGUUAUCCUAAUUUUCAUUCAUUAUUCAUAAAUUGCAGGGUGUUAAAAUAUUACCUCAAGUAAGAAUUCAACGAAAGCUAUGUUUUCUGGAUUGCAUUGAUCAAGGUGCAUAUUCUUUGUGAGCGUCAGAACUAUUAUCUUAUUCCAGAGCACGGAGCUUCUAACACAGGCUCCUACGACAUCCGCACGUCCUCCAUUUGGUAUAACUGUUAAAGUUUGGCGGAAGUCUCCUCCCAUAACAACGGUAAAUGGAUUGCCAAUCUUAUGACGUUUGGUUCUUCCUUAUGCAUCGAAUAACCGAAUAGACGAUGUGCAGCUUCAGGCGGUCCAAUAUACCUUGCGUCAAUGUAUAUUUGCACCUCAUCUACAGAUCCAACGAUCAUUGUUGUUUUAUGAAACCUUUGUAUAUGUACUUGUUGAUAUAUUUAACUGUUCUUAUA